GUUGAGCCAUUUCAGACUGUGCUGUUCUAUAAAAACCCAAGCAAUCCCAUUUUCUUCUCUGAGAACUACCUUCUGCUGUUUGGCUGGAUCAGCGGCCUUGUUUUUGUUCAUUGAUUCUGUGCUUCUGGUUUGUGUGACUGUUCCUAUUAAAACACAGCAUUAUGGAUUCUGCCAAAAAACCACAGGAGUCUGGAAAAGAGAAAGAAUCGCAUGAGAAACACAGCGGAUGCCACAGUCAUGGCCAAACUCAUUGCCAUGAGAAAGGCCAAGGUCACGGACAAUGUCAACAGCAAGGGGAGAGUUCGAAGUGUCACGGUCAUUGCCACGGCCAAGCUUCCGGAGAAGGACAGCACAAAUGAACCCCACUUGGGUCAAACGUCAUUGAACACAAUACCAUACAAAUACCACCCAAUUACUUUUUAAAUUCAGAAAUACUUAUUAAAUUUGAGGAAACAGAAA